CGCCGACGCCCUGGCCUUGGAUGCCCGCACGGGCCACACAGGAGUUUAUCUGGAAACCAAGCUCUACCUUCCCUAAGCAGAUGCUACUGGACAGGUGGCAUAAAGUUGCUGCCCCCGUCUGAGGUCCAGAUCCUCCCAGCUUUAGUACCUCCAACGACUACUGCAUAUCUUCAAUCCUAGUUCCAGAUAUUCAGGAAAGAGACAUUGAUUGGUCUAUUUUGGUCUAUCAUCUACCCCAUUGUGGAAUAAUCAUGGCUACCUGGAUCCAUCCCUUUAAGUGAAGUGACAAGGCAGAAAAAGGGAGGUGAGAUCCAGCAGACACUCUACAUGGUACUAUUGUGUGCUUCAUCAGGAACUUUCCACAGUAACACAUAGAAGGCAAAAAACAGAAACGGACUAGAAUUAUCCUGCCAAAGGACAGUCCACCUGAGAUUACAGCCCUCCUCCAGGCCUUCCCCUGAAGCCCAGUUUACACAGAAUCCAUUCUCAUAUUCGCUAAGGUGGUAGGCUGGACUCCAAGAUACUGAAUUGUCCCCUCACACUGAGUGUGGGUGGGACCUAGGAAUAUGAUGAGAUACUCACUCCUGUGAUUACGGUU
rnacentral:lncRNA from 12 species